AGCAGAGUGGCGCUGUGGAAGCGUGCUGGACCCAUAACCGAGAGGGCAGUACAUCAAAACCACUCUCUGUUA